rnacentral:sRNA from 1 species
GUAACCAUGAUAUACUAUAAGAACUGUCGAACCUCCAGCAGAAAGGAGGUGAGUUUCAUGGAAGAAAUUCUCGUCACAUUUCUUGUCUCUGUUUUAGCAGGCGUAGUUAGCUACUACAUAUGCAAAUGGCUGGACGGCAGACACUAGACAGCAACAGCCCAAACGGAACAGCUCACCGUAACGAGCAAGAAAGCCCUCAGAGCUGCAACUCUGAGGGCUUUUGUUUCUUUAGU